UACAGAGGUCCCAAGCGUUGUUCGGAUUUACUGGGCGUAAAGAGCGCGUAGGCGGAGGGAGAAGUCCGGUGUGAAAGCCCACGGCUCAACCGUGGAAGGUCGCUGGAAACUCUUCUUCUUGAGGGCGACAGAGGGAAGUGGAAUUGCUGGUGUAGCGGUGAAAUGCGUAGAUAUCAGCAGGAACACCCAUGGCGAAGGCAGCUUCCUGGGUCGGCCCUGACGCUGAGGCGCGAAAGCGUGGGGAGCGAACGGG
rnacentral:rRNA from 1 species